UGAGUGCGAGCUGCUACGGCAGCGAAGUUGGUGACGUCAUGCUUCCAAGAAAAGCCCUAUACCCGUUAAGGCAUCAUGGCCUGUACCCGAAACCGACACAGGUGGGGUGGUAGAGAAUACCGAGGGGCGCGAGGUAACUCUCUCUAAGGAACUCGGCAAAAUGGCCCCGUAACUUCGGGAGAAGGGGUGCCACCGCAAGGUGGUCGCAGUGAAGAGGCCCAGGCGACUGCUUACCAAAAACACAGGUCUCCGCUAAGUCGCAAGACGAUGUAUGGGGGCUGACGCCUGCCCAGUGCCGGAAGGUUAAGGAAGCUGGUCAGCGCAAGCAAGCUAGCGACUGAAGCCCCGGUGAACGGCGGCCGUAACAAUAACGGUCCUAAGGUAGCGAAAUUCCUUGUCGGGUAAGUUCCGACCCGCACGAAAGGCGUAACGAUCUGGGCGCUGUCUCGGAGAGAGGCUCGGCGAAAUAGAAUUGUCUGUGAAGAUGCGGACUACGUGCACCCGGACAGAAAGACCCUAUGAAGCUUUACUGUAGCUUGGUAUUGUGCCCGGGCUCGCAAUGCGCAGGAUAGGUGGGAGGCUUUGAUCAUCGGCUUGCGGGUCGAUGUGAGCCAACGGUGAGAUACCACUCUUUGCGAGCUAGGGUUCUAACGGCCACCCGUCAUCCGGGGGCCGGACAGUACCUGGUGGGCAGUUUGACUGGGGCGGUCGCCUCCUAAAAGGUAACGGAGGCGCGCAAAGGUUUGCUCAGGCUGGUUGGAAAUCAGCCGACGAGUGUAAAAGCAGAAGCAAGCUUGACUGUGAGACCAACAAGUCGAACAGGGAGGAAACUCGGCUUUAGUGAUCCGACGGUUCUGAGUGGAAGGGCCGUCGCUCAACGGAUAAAAGUUACUCUAAGGAUAACAGGCUGAUCUCCCCCAAGAGUUCACAUCGACGGGGAGGUUUGGCACCUCGAUGUCGGCUCAUCGCAACCUGGGGCUGAAGUCGGUCCCAAGGGUUGGGCUGUUCGCCCAUUAAAGCGGUACGCGAGCUGGGUUCAGAACGUCGUGAGACAGUUCGGUCCAUAUCCGGUGCACGCGCAGGAAUAUUGAGAGGAUUUCUCCCUAGUACGAGAGGACCGGGAGGAACGCACCUCUGGUGUACCAGUUAUCGUGCCAACGGUAAACGCUGGGUAGCCAUGUGCGGAGUGGAUAACCGCUGAAAGCAUCUAAGUGGGAAGCCCACCUCAAGAUGAGUAUUCCCAUGGCGUAAGCCAGUAAGGUCACGGGAAGUACACCCGUUGAUGGGCUCUAUGUGGAAGCGCAGUAAUGCGUGAAGCAGAGGAGUACUAAUAGACCGAGGGCUU
rnacentral:rRNA from 1 species